rnacentral:snRNA from 1 species
GUACUCGCUUUAGCACCACAUAUAAUAAAACUGAAUGGUAUGAAGCAGAAAAGCAUGCCUCUACAUAAGAAUGACAUGCAAAUUUGUGAAGACUUCCAUAUUUUU